UACGGAGGGAGCUAGCGUUGUUCGGAAUUACUGGGCGUAAAGCGUACGUAGGCGGCUUUGUAAGUUAGAGGUGAAAGCCUGGAGCUCAACUCCAGAAUUGCCUUUAAGACUGCAUCGCUUGAAUCCUGGAGAGGUGAGUGGAAUUCCGAGUGUAGAGGUGAAAUUCGUAGAUAUUCGGAAGAACACCAGUGGCGAAGGCGGCUCACUGGACAGGUAUUGACGCUGAGGUACGAAAGCGUGGGGAGCAAACAGG
rnacentral:rRNA from 1 species